rnacentral:rRNA from 1 species
AGAGUUUGAUCCUGGCUCAGGACGAACGCUGGCGGCAUGCCUAAUACAUGCAAGUCGAACGCUGAAGCACUCUGCUUGCAGAGUGCGGAUGAGUGGCGAACGGGUGAGUAACACGUGGGAAAUCUGCCUAGGAGUGGGGGAUAACAUUCGGAAACGGAUGCUAAUACCGCAUAUCUUUUUGAACCGCAUGGUUCUUAAACGAAAGACGGCUUCGGCUGUCGCUCUUAGAUGAUCCCGCGGCGUAUUAGUUAGUUGGUGGGGUAAAGGCCUACCAAGACCAUGAUACGUAGCCGACCUGAGAGGGUGAUCGGCCACACUGGGACUGAGACACGGCCCAGACUCCUACGGGAGGCAGCAGUAGGGAAUCUUCCACAAUGGGUGAAAACCUGAUGGAGCAAUGCCGCGUGAAUGAAGAAGGUCUUCGGAUCGUAAAGUUCUGUUAUUAGAGAAGAACAAGUCAAGGAGUAACUGUCUUGACUUUGACGGUACCUAACCAGAAAGUCACGGCUAACUACGUGCCAGCAGCCGCGGUAAUACGUAGGUGACAAGCGUUGUCCGGAAUUAUUGGGCGUAAAGGGAGCGCAGGCGGUUGGAAUAGUCUGAUGUGAAAGCCCACGGCUUAACCGUGGAAGGUCAUUGGAAACUGUCCAACUUGAAUACAGAAGAGGUAAGUGGAAUUCCAAGUGUAGCGGUGAAAUGCGUAAAUAUUUGGGAGGAACCCCAGUGGGCGAAGGCCAAUUACUGGGUCUGUAAUUUGACGCUGAGGGUUCGAAAGGCGUGGGUAACCAAACAGGGAUUAAAAUCCCCCUGGGUAGCCC